GGGCCGCGGCGGCGGCGGCGGAACAGCGGCCACAGAGUCUGCAACAGUAACCGAGCCAUGGCUGGAGCUGGCCAGCGGCGGGGGCAGGCAGCAGCCGCGGAAGGCGCAAGGGGUGCGUCAGGCGAGCCGGGGGCCUCACAAUUCUAGGAAGGAGAGGGACGUGAGGGGGCCGGGGGCGGGCGGGCUGGGGGCACCGCGCUCGCCCAACGGCGCGGAUCCUUUCUGGAAAUUAAUAUUUAAAAAAAAAAAAAAGCCGAGGACGCAGAGGGGAAGGUGGGGGCAAGAGGGAAGGCGAGACACACUGAGAGGGAGACAGAGCCCCACAGUGAGAGGAAGGAAGGAAGGAAGGCAGCAGUCGCCAGCAGCCGAUGUGAAGACCGGACUGCGUGCGCCCUUCGCCGCCUCUGCCCGGCCUCAUCGAUGUUGUGUCCGCCGCCCGCUCGCCCAGAUCACGAUGAACGCGCAGCUGACCAUGGAGGCGAUCGGGGAGCUGCACGGGGUGAGCCAUGAGCCGGUGCCUGCCCCUGCUGACUUGCUGGGCGGUAGCCCCCACGCGCGAAGCUCCGUGGCGCACCGCGGCAGCCACCUGCCCCCCGCGCACCCGCGCUCGAUGGGCAUGGCGUCCUUGCUGGACGGCGGCAGCGGCAGCGGCGAUUACCACCACCACCACCGGGCCCCCGAGCACAGCCUGGCCGGCCCCCUGCACCCCACCAUGACCAUGGCCUGCGAGACUCCCCCAGGUAUGAGCAUGCCCACCACCUACACCACCUUAACCCCUCUGCAGCCGCUGCCGCCCAUCUCCACCGUCUCGGACAAGUUCCCCCACCAUCACCACCACCACCACCACCACCACCACCCGCACCACCACCAGCGCCUGGCAGGCAACGUGAGCGGUAGCUUCACGCUCAUGCGGGACGAGCGCGGGCUGGCCUCCAUGAAUAACCUCUAUACCCCCUAUCACAAGGACGUGGCCGGCAUGGGCCAGAGCCUCUCUCCCCUCUCCGGCUCCGGUCUGGGCGGCAUCCACAACUCCCAGCAAGGGCUCCCCCACUAUGCCCACCCGGGCGCCGCCAUGCCCACCGACAAGAUGCUCACCCCCAAUGGCUUCGAAGCCCACCACCCGGCCAUGCUCGGCCGUCACGGGGAGCAGCACCUCACGCCCACCUCGGCCGGCAUGGUUCCCAUCAACGGCCUUCCUCCACACCACCCACAUGCCCACCUGAACGCCCAGGGCCACGGGCAACUCCUGGGCACGGCCCGGGAGCCCAACCCUUCGGUAACCGGUGCGCAGGUCAGCAAUGGAAGUAAUUCAGGGCAGAUGGAAGAGAUCAAUACCAAAGAGGUGGCGCAGCGUAUCACCACCGAGCUUAAGCGCUACAGCAUACCACAGGCCAUCUUCGCGCAGAGGGUGCUCUGUCGCUCCCAAGGGACCCUCUCGGACCUGCUGCGCAACCCCAAACCCUGGAGCAAACUCAAAUCCGGCCGGGAGACCUUCCGGAGGAUGUGGAAGUGGCUGCAGGAGCCGGAGUUCCAGCGCAUGUCUGCGCUCCGCUUAGCAGGUGAGCGGGCCAAGGAGCUGGGCGCGCGGGGAGAUAAGGUAUUGGGGAAGCUGAAGGGACCCAAGGAGGCAGGGAGGGAGAGAGCUCUGUGCACGCUUCAUCCCGUCCUCCUUUCACCGAGAGGGGGGUCCCUAGGCCUGGAAGAGCCAGAGCGUGGCUCCCGGGAGCAGACAGCCUCUUCCAGGACUCAGUGCAUUGGGCUGUGGAAGGCUCCGGGAACUGAGCAGCGCGGCCUGGGUGAUUGCAGAGGAGCAUUUGUGCUGGGAGACAGCGCAGGAAGCUCCCACGACCGUAGGAGGAAAGAAAUCCCAGCACCUGGCUGGAUACGGUCUGUGCAUCGCUUCUGGGUUUGGCACUCCAGGUUUGUGGGGGCGAGAGAGGCGACGCGUGCGUGGAACUGCGCGCAGGUGCUGCCAGCCAGUAUCCCUGGCGCAUACCCGGGCGCUGUGCUGGAGCGUGCGGGAGCUGCCCGCCAAUGUUUAGCUGAACUCGCUGCGGUGACCCCGCUCCCGCGCUCACUUUAGUGGCGCGGGGCGGGGUGGGGGGCUGGAGGGUGGGGAGCGCACUCUGGGAGUUCCAGCAAAGGUUCCGAAGCCGCGCGGCGGUGGGUGUGUGGCGCAGACGCUCCGUUAAGGUUUAGGACGCACUCUGCCCUUGUGACCGGCUGUAGAGAGGGAGGCAGAUCGUGCCAAGGUCCAGGUGAGGGCGGCCGAGCAACAAGGGAGCUUCUAGCUUAGCCCAGAGACCGAUUUCGCUGCCGACUCGCUUAGCGCUUCGCAUUUUGUUUUAUUCCUCUGCAUGAAUUUUCGUCUGAAUCCCACGCAGGGGGUGGGAGUGUGAGGGAAAAAAACAAGUCUUCGAGCAGAGGUCUCUGGGCCCAAACACCCCGAGGGCCUGGUGUUUCCGAUUUGAGCGGGAAGGUCUUGGCGGCGCUGCGUAGACACUGCGCCCAGUUCCCCCAGCCUCUCUAAGCCAAGCAUGCAAAAGGAAAGAGCAAGAACACGGGAAAGAUAGAGGCAACACACCCAAA